GGAACUAAGUACACCUAGCAAUAACAGAAAACAGAAGACCAACGUGACAAAACAGAUGAUGCGACGUGUCCUCACUCCAGCUUCAGUCGCGGGGAAGCUAUAAUAUUUUCUCACUGCUAUUAGCAUCGUGCUGCAUUUCCCAAGCUAAUUUCAAUACACGGUGAAAUGGUUUGGUACUGUGAUUUUAUAGGUCUUUUCCGACCGUAACAAUUCUACGGUUCUAUGAAGCUGUCCUGGUUGUCAGUGUUUUUGACCCAUCGUCAUGCAAAGACGCUCCUCCUUAAUUGUUAUCCCAUACUACACAGUUUGCAUGAAAUGGACAGAACCACCCCAAAUCCUUCACCCUCCCUUUGCCUGCGGGCUUCAUCCUGCACCCUUCAUCCUGCAUCCUUUACUCUUUACCCUCGAUCCUUCAUCCCACCCCUGCCACCGCAUCCCGCAUAGUGAGAUGACAUCUACGGCCAUCUGUGCUUGCAGUGGGACGUCACUGGGGACAUUACUGUCUGGGUGAGCUAAGCCCCGAGGCCUCGGGGUGGCUGUCAUAUGCUCCGGCUUGCCUAACAAAGCUAGGCUGUGCUAACGAAGCAACGAUCUCCACAUGAUGUGAAGCUGGGGCUGCGUGGACACAGCUGUGCUUUGUUUGGUGCUCAGGGCAGGGCCAGCCCCAAAGCCUCUUAAACCCCACUGGAGGCUGCUGGGAGCUAUUGAGGGCUGCUGGGAGUGUGGAGGUGCUUCUGGGGCUUGCUCCUUGUAGUAGGAGGCUGCUGAGUUUGCAGUCAUGAUUUUUGGGGGAGGCUAACCUGGGGAUAGUAUUGGUCUCUCUCUCUCUCUCUGUUCUUCUAGAAGCUGGUUUCUGUUGGGCUCCCCUGGUGGUUUUUGUGUGUGUUUGUUUGGUUGGUUGGUUUGUUUUUUUUUUUUUUUUUUGGAGGCAGUACAGUACUGCUACUGGGCUUCAAGUUUAUUUUUGUGGGGUUUCUUUUUUGGGAAACUGAAAGAGUUGCUGCUCCUGCGCUUCUCUGAUUUGUGGGGUUGUUGCAGUGGCUGCUGCUGGGUUCUUAUCAAGCUGCUUUUUCUUGAGGCCUAGAGGGUUCUGAAGGCGUUGCAACUCCUUGUGCUCAGAGUGACAGGUAAGCAAGAUGGAGCUAUGCACUUUCGCCUAGCUCUGGUACUGGUAAGUAAGAAGUGGUAAGUAAGGAGUUUAGGGGCUGCUGCUGGGGAGUGCCACGCACUGAAGGGCUCUCAGUGCCUCCUUGACUGCGGCAGCAGGUUGCUUGGCUCCCACACAGCUUUUCCUGGGGCCAUUAUUGUGCUGCAGCUGGGUUUUUCCCCUCAUCUCUUUUGUCUCCCCUAUGUUCUCUUGUAGGGGAUCUAUUAUUUCAUCACCUGAAGUAAGUGAUGACUGAUGGCAUUAAAGAAGAUGCGGCCAGCAGGAGGAGAGGCGAUUGUCUGCCUCUACUCAGGUCUUGUGAGUGCCCACCUGGAGUACUGCAUCCGGCACAAGACAGUCACAGGGCUCUUGGUAUGUGUCUGGAGGAGGACCACCACUCUUGUAAAGAAAGGUUGAGGGAACUGAGAAGGGAAGGCUUCUUGGGAAACCUCGUUGUGGCCUUCCGGUAGCUGGAAGGAAGGUAUAAAUGGAAGGGGAUUGACUGUUUAUGAGGGUGGAUGGUGAUAGGACAAGGGGGAAUGGUUUUAAGCUAAGAUGGGGAGGUUUAGGUGAAAGACUAGGAUGAGUUAUUGGGCUCAGAGGGUGGGGAUGCACUGGAAGGGGCUGGAUGAUCUUUGGUCCUUUUCCACCCAGGCCGUUCCAUGAUUCUGUGAUGAGGGGAGUGGCUGGCCCAGGAGGCACAGGUGCAAGUAAUUCACCUGCGCUUCCCAUGUGACUCCGGGUCUGCCCCUCCCUGGGCUCAUUUAAGGGCUAGCCUUUGCAGGGAAAAGGUCUCCUGGGUGAAGGCUGUUUUCUGAGAAGAGAUGUUCUAUAGCUAGAGACCCUCAUUGCUUCUCAGGGUCAGGGCUGUAGCCGAUCCUCUUGUAAACCCAGGCCUGUGAGCAGUUUCACUGGCGGUGAGCGCGUGGGAAUCGUUGGAGGCUUCCUGCCUUUAGUUGGAAGGGUCAGGGCUGCAUCUGAGCGUCUUCUGAGCCUGGACCUGUGAGGAGUUCCGCUGUUGGGUGAGUGCUGCUGUGGAUCAGAUCAGCCUGUGAGUGGUUCUAGUAGUGAUGGGACUGAGAAGGUACUCAGUGUGAGUACCUUCUCAGUCCCAUUGGUACUAGGGCUGCUCACAGUUGCUUGGGGAUCCUGGAAUUGUGUAAGUGUUUUUCCUGCAGGUCCAGAGCUGGUGUGGGGGUCCCCUUGUGAUGGAAGGUGCUGCUGUCCUGGAGCAUAGGGACUCCUGUGGUGAGAAGUUCUUCAGGAGGCUUUUUCUCCUUAGGUCUUUGGAGUUCUCAAAUAGGAAGAAGAGUCAUCUGUGCCCUGCUGUAAUGGGUUUGUGGAUGUUUCUGUUGUAGGUCACAGCCGGGGGGCAUACAAAAAAUGAACGAGUUGCAGCACCUCUCUAGCUAUCCCUGAUGAUUGCAUGGUGCUUAAUUUUUCAGUACUGAUGUUAAUUUGCAAGCCACAAGCAUCAAGCUGUCAAAACCAGUUAGCUAUGAGUUUAAAUAAUAGCAAGUUACGAAAUACUUGCUACUGUUCCUGCAUAGGGUCAAGCUGUCCUGAUUGCAGCAGCAUUUGUG